rnacentral:misc_RNA from 1 species
AGAAGUAAUGCGUAUGCAACAGAAGCUAAGCGCUCAACGUGUAUGAAAGACUCGUGUCCCGCAUGCAUGCAUAUAUAUAUAUAUGUACACAUAUACGCACAUGGGGACGCACUGAUCGCUCCUGACAUGGGUGACGAGGCACUUCAUCUGCACACUACUGAGUAGGUUGCAUCGUCUCCUGUCAAGCAGCAUCUAUGGAGAUAUUAUCUCUCCCGUCCCUCCGUGCAUACACAUACACAUCUAUCUAUAUCGACAUCUACAUAUAUAUAUAUAUAUUUGCGCGUUACUGGUGGCAUCGCUGCGUGUGCACAGGGCCUCUUUGCUGGUUCUCCUUUUUUUCUUUUCCCUUCUUCCUUUUCUUUUUUUUUCUACAGUUCAUUGUGGCGAUGUAUCCCGUCGUACAUCCAGGCAGGCACGCGCGUGCACACACGCACAUGCACACACAAGGAAAAGAAAAGAAACGAAGUUGGGCUUUUCGUCCAUCUAUUUGAGUGUGUACCCUCAAAAGCAAAAAAAACGAAACACAACAACAAAGGAACUGAAGAAAGAAAGAAGGAAAGAAGAGAGUUGCUGGAAGAAUGAUGCUUCGACAAUAUUAAAAAAAAAAAGAACAUUCUGUUUUGCGUGUGUGUGUGCGUUCUCGAACAUUAUACCACGAACAGCUCAACAAGUGUACGCAUAAUGAACUGCAGCUCGUCUAGCUCUCUUGCACCAUGCUUGAAUCCACGCCGUCCGGAACGAGCCGUCCGGCCCGGAAAUGAAGCCGUGCAUCUAGCCGACCUCUUUAUGUGAUUCCUCGUCCCUUCUUCGCACACACGCUGCGCCAUCGGCGCCAGACGGAGACGCGGUGUGGACUGCAUGCCUCGCGCCAAAGCGGCCCGCGUCCGGGGUGGCAUGCUCGAGGGCGGACGCCGCGGGUGCUCCACGUGCAUGCCGGAUGCGCGCAGGGAGGAAGGCCACCAGCCCCCGGCCAGGCCCCUCCGAGACCCUGCACAUCCUGCCUGUGUGCCAUGCUUCCCCGUCUCAGUCGCCUCCACCCGCGGCAUGCCAUCACGUGGUGCGGUGACGCUUCACAUGGGAGGCUCUGGAGGACUCGGCGGUGCACGUCGGGAGUGCUCUCAUCCCGCUUCCGGCAUCUCUGCCCCGUGAAAGCCCACCUCGGUCGGAUCGAGGAGAGAUGCCGCGUGUCUCGUACACAUGCACAUCGGCGCUGUCCCGUAUGCAUCUCUUCGCACCUUUUUGCUUCAUCACUCGUGCUCCUUAUUCCCCUGGAUGUUUUCCUUGGAUGUGAUGCCCGAUGCCCCAG